rnacentral:rRNA from 1 species
GGGGGAUAUUGCACAAUGGAGGAAACUCUGAUGCAGCGACGCCGCGUGAGGGAAGACGGUCUUCGGAUUGUAAACCUCUGUCUUAGGGGAAGAAAAUGACGGUACCCUAAGAGGAAGCUCCGGCUAACUACGUGCCAGCAGCCGCGGUAAUACGUAGGGAGCGAGCGUUGUCCGGAAUUACUGGGUGUAAAGGGAGCGUAGGCGGGGCAGCAAGUUGGAUGUUUAAACUACCGGCUUAACCGGUAACUGCAUCCAAAACUGCAGUUCUUGAGUGAAGUAGAGGCAGGCGGAAUUCCUAGUGUAGCGGUGAAAUGCGUAGAGAUCGGGAGGAACACCAGUGGCGAAGGCGGCCUACUGGGCUUUAACUGACGCUGAAGCACGAAAGCAUGGGGAGCAAAC